rnacentral:rRNA from 1 species
UACGAAGGGGGCUAGCGUUGUUCGGAAUUACUGGGCGUAAAGCGCGCGCAGGCGGUUCUUUAAGUCAGGGGUGAAAGCCCAGAGCUCAACUCUGGAAUUGCCUUUGAAACUAGAGAACUUGGGUACGGGAGAGGUGAGUGGAAUUCCGAGUGUAGAGGUGAAAUUCGUAGAUAUUCGGAAGAACACCAGUGGCGAAGGCGGGCUCACUGGCCCGUUACCGACGCUCAGGCGCGACAGCGUGGGGGAGCAAACAGG